CCAAAUCCCUCAAUCUCAUCCUCCCCUUCAUACCCAACCAUCACUCUCGACCUCACCUCGUCCUCAUCCUCGUCCUCGUCCCAUCUAAACCGCCUCGGCAGUGGCGGCGGCUUCGCUCCAAGAUACUCGACCACAAACCUAAACUUCAGCUCUCUAGAAUCCAACCCUCUCCCAAAUUCUUACAACAACGCUAUGCUUACUUAUGGCCAACAAUCCUUCAACAGAAACCAAAAUGCAGCUAAUUCUCUAAGCUUCGGAUCACAACCCUACGAAACCCUAUACCAAUCCUACUUGCAGAAAAGCAUAUCAAACCCUAACCCUAAUCAACAGCAUUUAGGGGCAGACACCAUUGCAGCUGCAACAAAAGCAAUAACAUCGGACCCUAGCUUUCAAACUGUCCUAGCCGCCGCUCUAACCUCCAUCAUCGGCGGCUCAGGUGGAACCGCAGCCGCCAACAACCACAACGCUGCUGAGAAAUCGAGCGGCGGUGAUGCUUUCCCGAUUCUAUCUAGCUUCCCGCCAACUUCAAAUGCGACCAAAUGCGCACCGAGUUUCAUGAACAAGUCUUCGUCCUCGUCGAGCUCUCAACAGCCUGGUUUGUCGACGCUUCUUUCGCCUCCGUUUCCAUUUUCGAGCUCGAAUAAGAGCAAGUCUAACUCACCGGCUGACAACAGGGAUCACGUAUAGUUUGAUUUGAUUUCGUCUUUUUUUUUCUUCAGUUUUUAGAUGAUAUAUUUUUGUUCAUUUUGGCUGGCGGGGUUUCCUCAUAAUGCAAAUUGUGCAUGGAUUAUUAGUGUUUUUUUUUUCUUCUCCAUUUUUUUUUAAUUGAAUGAUGUAAGAUGAAGAAAAUUGUGGAUAUAGAUGGUGACUGCUAGCUGGUGAAAGAUACAGUUUAAAACUAUUACCAGCUUCAUCUUUUCUUCUGACUUUUUUCUUUUUAAUAAAAAAAGGUCUUGUGCGUAUUGUGAACUCUGUUAUAUAAAUUUGAAUAUUUGUAGCUAAUUUUUUUUUUUUUUUAUCAUAACCUCUAUUUUUUUGAUACAUUUUCUGUGAAUAUUGAAUACAUAUAUAUCAGUAACAGAGAUGGGUAUUCUUGGGGUGUAAUCGAAUCGAGUCGAAACCAAAUAGUGGUGUGCUUAACGGUUUCCGACCGUUGUCUAUUAGCGAUUUUUUUUUGUAGUGAUUUAAUUUGUUUAGUAUCGAAUNGACCACAAACCUAAACUUCAGCUCUCUAGAAUCCAACCCUCUCCCAAAUUCUUACAACAACGCUAUGCUUACUUAUGGCCAACAAUCCUUCAACAGAAACCAAAAUGCAGCUAAUUCUCUAAGCUUCGGAUCACAACCCUACGAAAC
rnacentral:lncRNA from 1 species